UAUAUCAAGAUAAUGCCUGUUUUCUAGAUUAGCAAUUUUAUUGCUCUUUUUUUUUUUAAAGGAAACAGUAACAAUAAUGACUUGCUGCACAGAACUUUACCCAGUAAGCUGCCCUGUUGUGUUCACAAGGAGUCCUUGAGCUAUUGGGUCUCUACCCCUAUGUAACAAGUCUCUACUCCUAUGUUUGGGGAUGGACCACCUGCCCCAAGGGUCAAGCAUCCCCUCCUGCUGCCCAGAGGUAGGUGGAUCCUUCCAAAGAUGCAAGAUCAAUUUUCCAAGACGAUCCACCUAACCAAGGGAUGGGCGGAUGUAACGAUCACCAGAUGGACAGAGGCUGCGAUACUGGGAUUUUCCAUUUGAGGUGAGGAAAUGGAGCAUCUGAGAGGUCCAACAACUGGUCUAAGAACCACUAAAAAAACCUCAAUGGACCAUAUGACCCUCAAAUCAAGGCUUGCACCCCACCAAGUGUGAGCCCCUCCUCCUGAUGGCAGCUGCCCCCAAGAAACCUGGCCUGAGGGUUUGGGGACCCAUCAAGUCCUAUCCCUUCUGGGCUGGCAACCUGGUCUGUGCAUCAAAAGCCUACAAAAUGCUCAUUCUGCUGCUUUAGACAUUCCAGCAGUCCCCUGUAACAGCUAGGGAACGUUCCACAGGCCCUUCAACUCGGCACACAGGCACACAAGGGAAUGUCAUGCAUCACUAGAAACCAGUACCAAAAAAAAAAAAAAUCACAUGAUGAAAAAGGAUUUAUGGACAUGGGAGGAUGCACACAAUACUCAGCAAGGGGGAACAGAGGCUGCAACAGCGAGUAUGGAGCCCCCUGACCACAGACUCUGCUUCAGAGGCUAGGCUGGGGCCAGAGAGCCCUACAAUUCUGAGAGACUCCAGGUGAUGCCCACGAUGCUACCCUGGUACCUUCCGUGAUGAGCAUACUGUGAAAUGGCGUGUGCAGUAAGAACACAUUUUUAUUUUUUUAAAAAACAUCUCUCAGGGCUGGGGAUGUAGUUCAGCGGUAGGGUGCUGCCUAGCAUGUUCGAGGCCCUGGGUUCCAUCCUCGGCACCACAAAACACCAAAGAUUGCUUAGUGCAUGGAAGAGACAGAGGAAAGUCCAUGAAGAUGCAAACUGCCUUUAAACUUCCUUGUUGUGCUUUUCUAUGCCUUUUACCUUUCCUGAGACUGGACAUGUGUUUUUCUCAGAAUAAGUUCCAGUGAUUUCCUGUGAAGACGAGACCGUGUGAUAGGAAGAGAUGGGGAUUCGGGGCCUGGGAUUCGGAGUUGAGUUACUAGCGGUCCCUGAGGCUCAGUUUCCUACCCGGAAGGCCCUGACGAGGCUGUAAGGACCACAGGGAGGCUCUAUGUGGGUUUCUACCCUGUGCUUGGCACACAGAGGGGACUUUCAGGGUCAGGCCCCGCCCCGUCCACUGCUGGAACAAGAGCUCCUGUCCAGGAGAAGUGUCGGCUGUUCUCCCAGGCAGGUUUGCACUGGCUUCCCUGCUGGUCCCUGCACCAUCUCAGCAGCAGAGAACUGGGGAGCUGCCAUCAAGGUAGAGAUUUCGGGCACUGACUUGCAAGGCAGGCAGCCAGCUUGCCCACGAUGGCAGAGCCCAGCAGCUUGGGGACCCACCGGGAGCUUCUGCUCCCAGAGCAUGGCUUCCCCUCUGGGCUCCACUGCUGUGAGUUCCCUCCACAUAUCCCACACAGACGGGGACCACAAAUGGUUGCACUCUGACUUCAGGACAGGAACAGCUCCCGGAGCUCAAGUGCACUGGGACAGGAAUACAGAACGGAGGCGUCUCAGGCCCUCCAGGACCCAGGCCAGGGGAGCCCUCCCAGGCCUCUGAGGGUAAGUCACCAUUGCUCACUGGAGGAUUUUAAAGAUGUCCCAAGGUGCUUUAACUUGAUGCAGAAUUUUAAAACAUUCAAGUUGACGAACUCCAGAAGAGGUAGGUUUGCUGACCUUAAGUUCUUUUCAGUUGCAAAGUCAGUUAGGUGCAACAAUUAGGCUCCCAAGGACCCAGUGAGUACUGAGAUCAUUUAGACUGUCUGUUUCCAGUGGCUAGAAAUGAGCUGACUGGCUCUGAAAUCUGCCCCUGGCUAUGAGUUGUUCACGGUUAACUUUUACAAGUGGUACCUGCCAGUUACAUCCUUUUCUUGCUUAAUAUUUCAAAGUGAGGUUUUAGAGACCCUAGUGGCCCUCGUGGAUUACACUGAUCUCUAAUCAAACCCAGAAAAAACAGAGCCGCCGUAGGACACAAUGCGACACAGAGUUUCUCACAGUUCUCUCCAGCUGAGCAUGAUGCAGGGACCGUCAGGAACCCCCAGGGCAGUGCCCUUGCUAGGAGUCAGGAGCAGCCCUGCACCCAUGGCCACCUGCAGCUAAUCCCCAUCAGAUUCCAGGUACUUCAUCUCAACUCCCAGGAGGCAAGAGAAGUCAAUCAAGAACUUGGUCCUAAAGAUGGGACCGGCGUUCUGGCCUCUUCUAAAGCCUUCCAGAAAUCCAUGAUGUGGAAUUGAGGGGCUCCUGGGGCUCCUUGGAAGAUCCCUGGACAAGGGCUGACUCGGCCAGCAGUGCCUGCUGUUCUGACCUGGGGUUGGCCUGUGGUGGUCACCCCAUCGCCCCUUUAGAAAUAGGCCCCAGUCACAGGUGAUAAACAUACGGGUAUUUCCUGCAAGGAAAAGCUCAUCCUUUCCACUGACCACUGCAGCACUGCUUCCAACUGGGGCAGCUCAUUAAGGCAACCCUGUCCCUGGGACUCCUAGGAGGAAAGCAAGGCAUCUGCCCCAAACCAACCACCAUGCCCCAGAGCCCAGGUCAGCUACUCAACUUGCUCUUUAUUUCACUCCCUCCUGGGGCCCGCAUGCUGCAGGGGCAGUCACAGCUUGUACACACAGGUGCAGGAAUGCCAUGCAAGCGUCAGUCCCUAAAGCGUCGUGUCCCUCUACACAGUGGCAAGGUCCCCAGUCAUGUACACCACAAGUCACAGGAGAGUGUGGAACUGGUCCCUCACUCAGCAGACGAAGGUACAGCUGCAGACAGAGACGCCACUGAUGGUCAAUUAGCAGCAAAGGCACCACUCAAUGACAGGCCCCCGACCUCCAGAUCCUGCUCCUCUCCUACAAGGUGCCGCUCUGCUAGAUCAACAACUCCCAACACUGAGCCCCCCAGCGACAGCUGCCAGGCUUAUCAGUUUCUCUAUGAGGUGAGAGGAGGUUGUCUAUCUUUGACGGGGAAGAAGGACAGUCCCAGCUGACAGCCAGAGCAGGAGAGAACAGAACAAUCCUGGAACAGCAGGCUGUUAUCCAGUGUUCUAUCAGCCGGCGGCUCCGUGCAGAACUGCGCUCGGGAACCUGGCGGCCUGAUGAGUAAGAUGCCCAGCUAGAGAUGAUUCAAUGUGGAGGCAUCAGGAACACUGGGAGAUGGCAGGUUGCAAGAGACUAAAGAAAGAGACUCCAGCACGGAGGACAGAAAUAGAGGGGUGCCACACAGAGCCAGUGUCUGCACUUAUGAAAAAUAAAUAUGUCAGGAACCAGUCAGCUAAUGAAAUCGAAUACUUGUCCCUGGUGAGUGAGCUGGCACUUUGUAAAUCAAAUUACACGGAGGACACCAAUCCGCCCUCGUGGGCAUGCAGGACACUGUCUGCUGUCAAUAACUGUGAACUCUUUUCCUGUUCACCUGCCUCACGGGCAGCUCCUACAUUUUCCAUCAGCCAAUACCCCAAGCUAAGCCAUGACCCUGCAAACUGGUCCAUGCUUGGGAGCAAAAGCCAGAGUGCUCCAAUGAUCUCCAGGACCCGGGAGAACACUCAGGUUUUGGAGAUGGAGGUGAAGAUUUCUGGAAAUCAUGAAGUUAUUGAAAACAAACUGCAUGCUUGCAUCUAUUUGCCUAUGUUUUUUAAAUUGAGAAUAAAAAUACAGGUAACAUUUUAAUCCCCCAUAAGUCCAAAAUCAUCUUGCUAGCUUAAGACUAAAAAGGCAUUAAUGUAAUUUCCAUUUUAACUUAACUUAAAAAUAGUUAAGACUACCAGUAUUAAUGUACCACACAGCUUAAAUCUACUGUUAAUUUUUUUUAAACUUUUCCAUUUUGUUACAAGCUAUUGAUGUUCAAGGAAAGUUCCUCCUGAAUAGGGAUUUUUGCCAUUAGCUUAGUGAGGGCCAGGCUACGUGGAAUUCAGCUUAGUGUUCACAGCCCUGAGGAUGUGUUGGAGCAGAAUACACAUAAAAAGCCUUAAUAAAUGCAUCCUAAGUUUA